AACGAACGCUGGCGGCAGGCCUAACACAUGCAAGUCGAGCGCAGUCCUUCGGGACCGAGCGGCGGACGGGUUAGUGACGCGUGGGAACGUACCCAGAUCUAAGGAAUAGCCUCGGGAAACUGAGAGUAAUACCUUAUACGCCCCUCGGGGGAAAGAUUUAUCGGAUUUGGAUCGGCCCGCGUUAGAUUAGAUAGUUGGUGGGGUAAUGGCCUACCAAGUCUACGAUCUAUAGCUGGUUUUAGAGGAUGAUCAGCAACACUGGGACUGAGACACGGCCCAG
rnacentral:rRNA from 1 species